CAGGCGGCACGGGGCAGGGACAGGUGAUUGGGUAAUGGGGAGCCCAAGCAGGUGAGGCGCGGCACAGGGCGGAGACAGGUUGAAUUUGACCGGUUCAGCCCCAGUGUCUUCCAGGACUCCUGGCCCAGAGUGGGGAAUUUGAGCUUUUCCACCAGAGGAGGAGGUGUGCAGAGCCACUGGGAGGCCGUGAGGAACCGCGCUAUAGCCGCUGGUGUGCGGUGUCAGGCGCGUGCCAUUCAGAACGCAUCCUCAUUGGGGAAUGAUUCAAAGGGAGAGGGGGUCUUUGGAAGAAUCGUUCCUACUCUGGGUAAAGAUAGGCCAGUCCCCUUGAGUGAUUCUAGACAGUCAGUAGGCUACAUGUUACGGCUGGAAGUCCACACCGAAGUUAUUACUCCAGGAUGUGCCAAUCGGAAAACUGCCCAUUCACAACCCGGAACCAAGAGAAUGCCAUUCUCAUCAUUCUGGAAU
rnacentral:lncRNA from 1 species